rnacentral:rRNA from 1 species
GUGGGGAAUAUUGGACAAUGGGCGAAAGCCUGAUCCAGCCAUGCCGCGUGUGUGAAGAAGGUCUUCGGAUUGUAAAGCACUUUAAGUUGGGAGGAAGGGCUGUAAGUUAAUACCUUGCUGUUUUGACGUUACCGACAGAAUAAGCACCGGCUAACUUCGUGCCAGCAGCCGCGGUAAUACGAAGGGUGCAAGCGUUAAUCGGAAUUACUGGGCGUAAAGCGCGCGUAGGUGGUUUUGUAAGUUGGAGGUGAAAUCCCCGGGCUCAACCUGGGAACUGCCUCCAAAACUGCAUGACUAGAGUACGGUAGAGGGUAGUGGAAUUUCCUGUGUAGCGGUGAAAUGCGUAGAUAUAGGAAGGAACACCAGUGGCGAAGGCGACUACCUGGACUGAUACUGACACUGAGGUGCGAAAGCGUGGGGAGCAAACAGGAUUAGAAACCCCUGUAGUCC